UAUUAAUAUAACUGAAUAAAAAAGAAGGAUACGCGUGAGAUAAGUAGUUGUAUGCCUACAUUUUCCAUUUUUUUUUUACAGGGUCGCUUUUUUUGUACAACUUUUUUUUCGCAACACACACCCAAAACUAUGUAUGUAAUCAUGCUGGAUGGU
rnacentral:ribozyme from 1 species